GAACGAAGUUAUACGGCGUGGAUAAGACAUGCAAGUCGAACGAUCAUUAUGGGGUAGCAAUAUUCCGUGGUGGGAGUGGCGAAAGGGUGCGUAACAUGUGGGUAAUCUGCCGUGAAGUCUGGGAUAACUUGCUGAAAGGCGAGCUAAUACCGGAUGUGACUGUUAAGAGGCAUCUCUUGACUUUCAAAGUUGGGGACCGUAAGGCCUGACGCUUCAUGAUGAGCCCGCAACCUAUCAGCUAGUUGGUGAGGUAACGGCUUACCAAGGCUAAGACGGGUAGCUGGUCUGAGAGGACGACCAGCCACACUGGAACUGAGACACGGUCCAGACACCUACGGGUGGCAGCAGUCGAGAAUUUUUCACAAUGGGCGCAAGCCUGAUGGAGCGACGCCGCGUGGGGGAUGAAGGGCUUCGGUCCGUAAACCCCUGUCAUUUGUGAACAAACCUUGCGACCUAAUACGUCGCGAGCUGAUAGUAGCGAAAGAGGAAGGGACGGCUAACUCUGUGCCAGCAGCCGCGGUAAUACAGAGGUCCCAAGCGUUGUUCGGAUUUACUGGGCGUAAAGGGUGCGUAGGUGGUCAGGUAAGUCUGAUGUGAAAGCUCGGAGCUUAACUCCGAAAUGGCAUUGGAAACUACUUGGCUAGAGGGUUGGAGGGGAGACUGGAAUUCUCGGUGUAGCAGUGAAAUGCGUAGAUAUCGAGAGGAACACCAGUGGCGAAGGCGAGUCUCUGGACAACUCCUGACACUGAGGCACGAAAGCUAGGGGAGCAAACAGGAUUAGAUACCCUGGUAGUCCUAGCCGUAAACUGUGCACAUUUGCUGUGAAAGGAAUCGACCCCUUUUGUGGCGAAGCUAACGCGUUAAAUGUGCCGCCUGGGGAGUACGGUCGCAAGAUUAAAACUCAAAGAAAUUGACGGGGGCCUGCACAAGCGGUGGAGUAUGUGGCUUAAUUCGAUGCAACGCGAAGAACCUUACCUGGCCUUGACAUGUACGUAGUAGAAGGGUGAAAGCCUGACGAGGUAGCAAUACCAGCGUACACAGGUGCUGCAUGGCUGUCGUCAGCUCGUGUCGUGAGAUGUUGGGUUAAGUCCCGCAACGAGCGCAACCCCCGUCCUUAGUUGCUACCAUUUAGUUGAGCACUCUAAGGAGACUGCCGGUGAUAAGCCGCGAGGAAGGUGGGGAUGACGUCAAGUCCUCAUGGCCCUUACGGGCUGGGCUACACACGUGCUACAAUGGCGGUGACAAUGGGAUGCUAAGGGGCGACCCUUCGCAAAUCUCAAAAAGCCGUCUCAGUUCGGAUUGGGCUCUGCAACUCGAGCCCAUGAAGUUGGAAUCGCUAGUAAUCGUGGAUCAGCACGCCACGGUGAUACGUAUCCCCGGGCAUUGUACACACCGC
rnacentral:rRNA from 1 species